CCUACGGGGGGCAGCAGUGGGGAAUAUUGCACAAUGGGGGAAACCCUGAUGCAGCAACGCCGCGUGAGUGAAGAAGUAUUUCGGUAUGUAAAGCUCUAUCAGCAGGGAAGAAAAUGACGGUACCUGACUAAGAAGCUCCGGCUAAUACGUGCCAGCAGCCGCGGUAAUACGUAUGGAGCAAGCGUUAUCCGGAUUUACUGGGUGUAAAGGGAGCGCAGGCGGUACGGCAAGUCUGAUGUGAAAAUCCGGGGCCCAACCCCGGAACUGCAUUGGAAACUGUAUUUCUAGAGUGUCGGAGAGGCAAG
rnacentral:rRNA from 1 species